rnacentral:rRNA from 1 species
GGGUUGUGAGGUUAAGCGACUAAGCGUACACGGUGGAUGCCCUGGCAGUCAGAGGCGAUGAAGGACGUGCUAAUCUGCGAUAAGCGCCGGUAAGGUGAUAUGAACCGUUAUAACCGGCGAUUUCCGAAUGGGGAAACCCAGUGUGACUCGUCACACUAUCAUUAACUGAAUCCAUAGGUUAAUGAGGCGAACCGGGGGAACUGAAACAUCUAAGUACCCCGAGGAAAAGAAAUCAACCGAGAUUCCCCCAGUAGCGGCGAGCGAACGGGGAGGAGCCCAGAGCCUGAAUCAGCAUGUGUGUUAGUGGAAGCGUCUGGAAAGGCGCGCGAUACAGGGUGACAGCCCCGUACACAAAAGCGCAUGUGCUGUGAGCUCGAUGAGUAGGGCGGGACACGUGGUAUCCUGUCUGAAUAUGGGGGGACCAUCCUCCAAGGCUAAAUACUCCUGACUGACCGAUAGUGAACCAGUACCGUGAGGGAAAGGCGAAAAGAACCCCGGCGAGGGGAGUGAAAAAGAACCUGAAACCGUGUACGUACAAGCAGUGGGAGCACCCUUUGGGGUGUGACUGCGUACCUUUUGUAUAAUGGGUCAGCGACUUAUAUUCUGUAGCAAGGUUAACCGAAUAGGGGAGCCGGAGGGAAACCGAGUCUUAAUUGGGCGUUAAGUUGCAGGGUAUAGACCCGAAACCCGGUGAUCUAGCCAUGGGCAGGUUGAAGGUUGGGUAACACUAACUGGAGGACCGAACCGACUAAUGUUGAAAAAUUAGCGGAUGACCUGUGGCUGGGGGUGAAAGGCCAAUCAAACCGGGAGAUAGCUGGUUCUCCCCGAAAGCUAUUUAGGUAGCGCCUCGUGAAUU